rnacentral:lncRNA from 1 species
GGUCUCGACCUCGAGGUACUCCACCUCUCCGUCGUGGUCGCCGUCCGCCUCCGCCUCGCCGUCCGCGUCGUGUUCCACCUCCAUGUGCUCCUCCUCCUGCGAGUCGCCGCCCUCCUCCUGCUACAACACCACACGUAGAAGGGUAUGUGUCAAGAAACGGAACAGAGGCAUAAUACCCACACGUGACAUCAUUGGAAAUUAGAAAGUUUGAAAAAGAAAUAACAGAUGGAGCGAUAUUCCCACUAUGUGUUUUCAAGUCCAACUAACUUGUCUGUGGAAUGCCCCAUGUAUCAUCUCGGCAUAAAACGGCGUAAUAAAUUUGUUCACUCA